AUUGAACGCUGGCGGCAGGCCUAACACAUGCAAGUCGAACGGUAACAGGAAGCAGCUUGCUGCUUCGCUGACGAGUGGCGGACGGGUGAGUAAUGUCUGGGAAGCUGUCUGAUGGAGGGGGAUAACUACUGGAAACGGUAGCUAAUACCGCAUAAUGUCGCAAGACCAAAGAGGGGGACCUUCGGGCCUCUUGCCAUCGGAUGUGCCCAGAUGGGAUUAGCUUGUUGGUGGGGUAACGGCUCACCAAGGCGACGAUCCCUAGCUGGUCUGAGAGGAUGACCAGCCACACUGGGACUGAGACACGGUCCAGACUCCUACGGGAGGCAGCAGUGGGGAAUAUUGCACAAUGGGCGCAAGCCUGAUGCAGCCAUGCCGCGUGUAUGAAGAAGGCCUUCGGGUUGUAAAGUACUUUCAGCGGGGAGGAAGGGAGUAAAGUUAAUACCUUUGCUCAUUGACGUUACCCGCAGAAGAAGCACCGGCUAACUCCGUG
rnacentral:rRNA from 1 species